rnacentral:rRNA from 1 species
UACGGAAGAUGCGAGCGUUAUCCGGAUUUAUUGGGUUUAAAGGGAGCGUAGGCGGGCUUUUAAGUCAGCGGUCAAAUGCCACGGCUCAACCGUGGCCAGCCGUUGAAACUGCAAGCCUUGAGUCUGCACAGGGCACAUGGAAUUCGUGGUGUAGCGGUGAAAUGCUUAGAUAUCACGAAGAACUCCGAUCGCGAAGGCAUUGUGCCGGGGCAACACUGACGCUGAGGCUCGAAAGUGCGGGUAUCAAACAGG